AUUGAACGCUGGCGGCAUGCCUUACACAUGCAAGUCGAACGGCAGCGCGGGGGCAACCCUGGCGGCGAGUGGCGAACGGGUGAGUAAUAUAUCGGAACGUACCCAAGAGUGGGGGAUAACGUAGCGAAAGUUACGCUAAUACCGCAUACGAUCUAAGGAUGAAAGCAGGGGACCGCAAGGCCUUGUGCUCCUGGAGCGGCCGAUAUCUGAUUAGCUAGUUGGUGGGGUAAAGGCCUACCAAGGCAUCGAUCAGUAGCUGGUCUGAGAGGACGACCAGCCACACUGGGACUGAGACACGGCCCAGACUCCUACGGGAGGCAGCAGUGGGGGAAUUUUGGACAAUGGGGGGCAACCCUGAUCCAGCAAUGCCGCGUGAGUGAAGAAGGCCUCGGUGUAAGACUCUUUGUUC
rnacentral:rRNA from 1 species